rnacentral:rRNA from 1 species
UGGGGAAUAUUGGGCAAUGGAGGAAACUCUUACCCAGCAAUGCCGCGUGAGUGAUGAAGGUCUUAUGGAUUGUAAAGCUCUUUGAUUAGGGACGAAUAAAUGACGGUACCUAAAGAACAAGCCCCGGCUAACUAUGUGCCAGCAGCCGCGGUAAUACAUAGGGGGCGAGCGUUGUCCGGAAUGACUGGGCGUAAAGGGUGUGUAGGCGGUUUGGUAAGUUAGAAGUGUAAUACCCAGGGCUUAACUCGGGUGCUGCUUCUAAUACUGCCGGACUUGAGUGUAGGAGAGGACAAUGGAAUUCCCAGUGUAGCGGUGGAAUGCAUAGAUAUUGGGAGGAACACCAGAGGCGAAAGCGAUUGUCUGGACUACAACUGACGCUGAGGCACGAAAGCGUGGGGAGCAAACAGGAUUAGAUACCCUGGUAGU